rnacentral:rRNA from 1 species
AGUAAUACAUCGGAACGUGUCCCGUAGUGGGGGAUAGCCCGGCGAAAGCCGGAUUAAUACCGCAUAUGCUCUACGGAGGAAAGUGGGGGACUCGCAAGGGCCUCACGCUAUGGGAGCGGCCGAUGUCCGAUUAGCUUGUUGGCGGGGUAAUGGCCCACCAAGGCGGCGAUCGGUAGCUGGUCUGAGAGGAUGAUCAGCCACACUGGGACUGAGACACGGCCCAG